UGAUAUUAUUGUUGUUAGUUAUAGUCAUCACACCCUGGUUACAGUUUUCCAGUUCACCGAAUCAACAGUGUAAUUCAGGUUAUAUGUGGCCACCCAUUUUGGGCUGGUACUAUCACCAUAGGUUAAGUGAUUACGCAGCCGAUACAGUCUUUCUAAGUCGACUUGAAGAUAAUGUUUGUCUUCCGAGACAGGAGCACACCAAGAACUACCACUAGAUAUCCUUGCAUCAGAAGCACUGUGACCUUCUGAAGAACCAGAAGCACUGAAUGACGAAUCGGGAAAUUUUUCUUUAUCUACUAACAGUGGU
rnacentral:lncRNA from 1 species